UCCUGGCUUAGGACGAACGCUGGCGGCGUGCCUAAUACAUGCAAGUCGAACGGUCUUUCUAUGGAAGCUUGCUUCCACUGAGAAGAUAGUGGCGAACGGGUGAGUAACACUGGGGUAACCUGCCCAUAAGAGGGGGGAUAACAUCCGGAAACGGGUGCUAAUACCGCAUAGUUUUCUUGAUCGCAUGAUUGAGAAAGGAAAGACGGCCUUUGUGCUGUCGCUUAUGGAUGGACCCGCGGCGUAUUAGUUAGUUGGUGAGGUAACGGCUCACCAAGACGAUGAUACGUAGCCGACCUGAGAGGGUGAUCGGCCACAUUGGGACUGAGACACGGCCCAAACUCCUACGGGAGGCAGCAGUAGGGAAUCUUCCGCAAUGGACGAAAGUCUGACGGAGCAACGCCGCGUGAGUGAAAGAAGGUUUUCGGAUCGUAAAACUCUGUUGUCAGAGAAGAACAAGUUGGAGAGUAACUGCUCCAGCCUUGACGGUAUCUGACCGGAAAGCCACGGCUAACUACGUGCCAGCCGCCGC
rnacentral:rRNA from 1 species